rnacentral:rRNA from 1 species
UACAGAGGUCUCAAGCGUUGUUCGGAUUCAUUGGGCGUAAAGGGUGCGUAGGCGGCGCGGUAAGUCGGGUGUGAAAUCUCGGAGCUUAACUCCGAAACUGCAUUCGAUACUGCCGUGCUUGAGGACUGGAGAGGAGACUGGAAUUUACGGUGUAGCGGUGAAAUGCGCAGAUAUCGGGAAGAACACCCGUGGCUAAGGCGGCUCUCUAGUACGGUACUGACGCUGAGACGCGAAAGCGUGGGGAGGCGAACAGGAU